UACGGGGGGAGCAAGCGUUGUUCGGAUUUACUGGGCGUAAAGGGCGCGUAGGCGGUCGUGACAAGUCACUUGUGAAAUCUCCGGGCUUAACUCGGAAAGGUCAACUGAUACUGUGCGACUAGAGUGCAGAAGGGGCAACUGGAAUUCUCGGUGUAGCGGUGAAAUGCGUAGAUAUCGAGAGGAACACCUGCGGCGAAGGCGGAUCUCUGGGCCUUACCUGACGCUCAGGCGCGAAGGCUAAGGGAGCAAACAGG
rnacentral:rRNA from 1 species